CAAUCUUUUGGCAUCCAGUGGCAUAUCGACAGAGGAUAUUGACAGGAACUAUUGCCGGGAGAUUAGAGAUGAGAAAACAACAUCAUUUGAAACUUUGGAAAAUUUUCAUGGCCUGUUCUGUAACAUUGGACAGCAUCAAGGAUUUCUUGGAAUAUUUGACCAAGUUCAUAUAAGCAGAAUGAACAAAAAAAAGUAUUUUUACAUGGAUACAAAGACAGAUACGAGACGUGGUACCUGCUGGUUUGGAAAUUAAAUAUCAGGGAAAUAACAAUCCUGGUGGACAACAAACCUUACAAAUGCCAUCAAACAUUUUACUUUACAGUGAUGGUCAAGUGAAUGGGGAUUUCCAUUGUAACGUUAACGAAAUAUGAUGACAUGCAGUGACAGUCCAUGGAACUGUAUCUGAUGGAUUGUAUAUCAAAGAAAUCGUCUGACUUCUCAUCUUCACAAAUGAUGCCAAUAGACGUUUUAAUAUUGACGUCUUUGUCAGGGAGUUUGAAUCUAAUUACUCAAUCAAAUCCUCCGGUAUCAAUAAAUGAAUGUGUAUUGUGCCUGCAUCUACAGUGCUGGGACACGCUGAUAAAACAUGUUCAUCAGCAGCAACAAUCUCCUGAGAACUCUCUUUUUGUUCUCUUUAUAUACAGUAUUGUGGAGUUACCUUGGGAAUGCUUUUGAAAUGAAAUCGAGGAACUGAAGACAACAAGGCAGAUAUACACUGACAGCUCAGUCGUGAUUUUAACCCCAAGCUUUUUGUUUAUUUUGGUAACCUCAGCUGUAAAGGUACAUUUGGCUUGAGGUACAGUUUUGAUUAAGUAGAAAUAUGCAUUUUUCAUUAGAAAAUUGAACAUUUACAACAUUUUCUGAACAUACAGUAUAUGGGACACAUGGGGGUUAAACUAAGCUGUCUGAAAAGACUCAUGGCUCAUAAAGUGUUGUGGAUACAAAAGCUGACUUGAAACUGGCUUCACAGAAAAGACUAGGUGAAAAGUAAUUUUUUUAGCCUACAAUGUAACCUGGACGUCAAAGUUUUCACAAAUUCAUUAAAACUCUAUUGAUAAAGAGAAAAGACAGCAGAGAGAGAAAAUGGCAUUGUAACAGUACCAUUUUCUCUCUCUGCUGUCUUUUUCUUUAAAUUUAUAUAAAAAAGACAAGUAUAUCCGGAAAGAGGAAAUUAUGAGGCGAUAGUUUUCUGGUGGUGGAUAUUGUGAAUUUUAAGGCAGUAAUGAGAAGUUAUUGUUUGAGCAGUUUGACUGACAUCUCUAUUGCUGCUUCAGAUUUUAUCAUCAGCUGUCAGUUCUGUAUUUAAAUAUAUUUCAUCGCACUUUUUCAUAGAUGACGGAUAAAACAAUUUAUUGUUUUCAUUUUCAAACUUUUUGUCUCAUGAGAUCAUAACUGUCCCUGUGUAAAAAGAAACAAACUAAUUUUUUAAUUAUGAUUUCCGACAUCAACGUAUUGAAAUCUUUCACUGUUUUAUGCGAUGAUAUAUCACUCUUCAUCCAUUGUUUUAUUUUUCCUUGUCUCUACUGUUGUUGUUGUUAUUGUUGACGUCGAAACACCAAACUGAUGCCUUCAGAAGUUAUCUAAACUAAAGGGGCAGGUAAGGUAUUUUUUUUUUUAUCUCAAAGGUAAUUUUUGGGUGUAAAACUAAUUGAUGAAGAUGUGUGUUUUAAGUUGGGUACUACAGAAAUGAACUUAAUAUUUGUUUCAAUUUUUAAAAAAAUCAUGUAAAACCUAUACAAAAUAUUUCCACCAAUCUUUAAAAUUUUAAACCGACAGAUGUGUGUGCAAUGCUGUAACUGUUUGAAUUUUGUAUUAUUCAGAACAAGUUGGGGCUUUUAUUUUGGUGGAAAUUGUGUAUUGUUGGCCUCCUCUUUGAUCAGCCUUGAGGCAAAAAUGUUCCCAUUUGUUUGGCUCUCCAUUAUCUUCACCUGAGCCUGUUGGAAGGUUUGAUUAAUCCUCUCUCUCUCUCUCUCUCUCUCUCUCUCUCUCUCUCUCUCUCUCUCUCUCUCACACACACACGCACACACACGCCUUCACACUGUCUUCCUUUUUUUCUUUGCCUUUCAUUGCCUUUUCUUUCUUACUCUGCCAGUCCAGGCUGUAUGUGUCAAUGGCACUGUUUUGCUUUGUGGUGGGCCACAGCUGUGUCUCACAAGAGUGCUUCUUCUUAUAAUAGAUAUCGACAGGGCCUCUCUUUGUGUUUCUGAAUCUGUGCCACUUACUGUAUCUUUAUUUUUCUAUCUCAGUACACAUCCCCAUUUAUGAAUCCUUCUAUGUACCCCAGAACUCUCCUGGUGAGUUGUCCUCAGUGGGCAGACUACCUAUGGAGAGGUCAAUACAAUCCCUUCUCUAUACUACAGCUUAUCCAGUGCAAUAUUACAGAAUUGUUCACAUCUACCACAUAUCUCGCUUUAUAGUCAUUGUUUUCAAGUGGCGCGUGAGGUAUUAUAUAGGAUAACGUGUUUUAAGGGUUGGAUUAACUUCAGUUUAUAAUGCAGUCGUGCUUCUUUUCCCAAAUAGAUUUCUUCCUCUUUUGCCUCUAAUUCAUAUUAUUGAUUUAAAACCAUUGUAAGCAGUACACAACAGACACAGUUAUAGCUGUUGCUUUGAUUUUUACCCUUCUUACAGUAUUUAAGCAUUAGUGUUCUACUUUCAUAAAGUUGGGCGAUUUUCGAAAAUAAACGAAUGGUUCAAAUUGAAGUAACAGAGGCCGAGAUAUCCUCACUUUAGUCCCAAGUAUGCACCUAUCUCAUUACUUUUUCCCAUAGACAAUGAGACUCACAGCUCUUCUACUGCUUGGAUCGGCAUGAAACUCUUCUGGUGAAAUCAUCAGAACAAAAGAUUAACAACAGUGUUAGAACUAUCGUAUUCUUUCAUAGUCUAAAAGACUGUGUACAUAAAAACAUUGGUGGAGCUGUUCACUACAUCUGUCAAGGUGCAUUUCGGCAAGAAACAUCCAAUCACAAGGCAAACAGACGCUGUUGAGAAAAUAGAUUUUCCAGUCUGCUGCUUAAAUUAAUUCAUUUUGGAUUUCUGGGUCAAGUAUGGACAAAUUUGCCAACUACUGGCGCUGUGUUCUGUUCACAAAUUCAAGUUGGAAAAAAUACUUCUGGAACCAGAAGCUUUUUUCCACUUCACAACUCUAUUGUUUGACUCUUAAAAUACAUUCAUGUCUCGCUCCCUCCACAGAAGACAUUAUACAGCUGUUUUCACAGGAUGAGUACUCCUCAUUGAACUUUAAAAUUAGGAUCAAUUCUAGCUUCAUCAAGGCUAUUCUGACAAAUUACAGGCAACCCUUUAUGCGGUCAAUUACAUAAAGAAAGUACAAGCUGAGACACAAUGAAGGAAAUAGCAAGAGAGGCCCCAGUGUGUAACAGUAACAUGGGAUAUAGAUGUAAAAGAUCAGCAACAAAAACUUCAGCAAAAAUAGUAUUUGAAAGGUUUCCUUUACUCAAGAAUGAGAACAACUGAGGAGCGAUUGAUGUUUCUUUUAAUGGACUCUUGACUUUUGAAGAUGUUCCAGUUGUUAAGCACACCUCAGGUGGUGAAGUAUUCGAAACGUUUUUUCAAAUACAUUUCUUGCUGCAAAGAGCAGACAGGACUUUCAGGCCUGUGGGCAUUUUUAAAACAAAUACUGUAUCUAGCUAUGUUUUUUGUACAUUGAAUGUUGAAAAUGUUAUAUCUUAUAUAGAAUGCAUUACGUCAUAUCUAUCAAACCUACUUUUUCUAUACAAUCAAUAAAUCAGAUAAAAAUU